AAUCAACGCUGGCGGCGUAGCCUCAGACAAUGCAAGUCGAACGAUUAAAGCUCUCUUCGGAGAGUGUAUAGAGUGGCGCACGGGUGAGUAACACGUAAGUAAUCUACCUUUGAGUGGGGAAUAACCCGGGGAACCCGAGCUAAUACCGCAUAAUGCAGCGGCACCGCAAGGUGACAGUUGUUAAAGGAGCAAUCCGCUUAAAGAGGAGCUUGCGGCAGAUUAGCAGUUGGUAAGGUAAUGGCUUACCAAGGCUUCGAUCUGUAUCCGGCCUGGAGAGGGCGGUCGGACACACUGACACUGAAUAACGGGUCAGACUCCUACGGGAGGCAGCAGUCGGGAAUUUUGGGCAAUGGGCGAAAGCCUGACCCAGCAACGCCGCGUGAAGGAUGAAGUAUUUCGGUAU
rnacentral:rRNA from 1 species